CCACUUCCUAGCUGCGCCGCAAAUCCGCUAGGACUUUCUCUCGUGUUGGGGAGCACUGCGCCGUUCGGUGCCCGGCCGGGUUCUGGGCGCUGCGGAGAACCCUUUGGGGUCGUCUUGAGAGCGUCGAGUCCGCAGAGGCCGCUGGAGUCUGUGCUGGUUUUCUGGUGUGCUCAUAAACGAGAGAAACGCGUACUCCUCCAGUCCAGGAGGGCAGAAGUCCGACAACAGGGUGUUUGCAGGGGUGCUUCCUUGCCAGGGGAAACUUUCCCAGGCGAUCUGGCUCCUGGGGGUCGCCAGCAGGGCCAGGCGCUCUUGCCCUUUGUAGAAUCAUUCCUGCGGUUUCCAUGUCCGUGUGGCUCACCCUCGCCGUGUUUGUGUGCACAUCUCCCUUUCUGUAAGGACACGAAUGGGAUUGGGUUUGGUGGCCACCUUCUUCCAGCUGGGUUCAUCUCCUAUUACACUUGCAAGGCUCCUGUAUCCAGAUAGGGCCAUAUUUUCAGGUUCUAGGGCUUAGGACUUGAAUAUACCAUUUUGAGAACACAAUUCAAUCCACAGCUCAGCUGGUAGGAAGAGAUGAGUCUGGGCUUAGACUGGAGGAGGGGACAGUUUUGGCCAGAGGCAACAGGCAGCUGAGGCCUGUGGUGGGCUUGGGGGGGGGCAGUGAGUGGGAACAGACCUGGGGGCUGCUCCCUCUGCAGGCUUCCUGGAGGACCCGGAGAGGAAGUAUCACUUUGAAUGCUGCAGUGAGGAGCAAUGUCAGGAGUGGAUGGGGGCUCUGCGUCGAGCCAGGAAUGAGAUCCAGAAGAUGACUGGCAAGGACCCGCUGGAGCAGUUCGGCAUAUCUGAGGAGGCCAGGUUCCAGCUGGGUGGCUUGAAGGCCUGAGUCUGGAAGAAGCCCUCCCUACCCUCUCCAGGCCCUGGCUUUCCUGGUCAAGCCUGGAUUUGCUGCAGCACGUGUUUGCCUGAAGGACUUCAAAAGCCCAAGAUUGGUGGGGGUGGGCAGGGGCAGGUUGGAGGAACACUCCAGUAACCCACCCCCCCUACCCCCGCACUGGUCUGGCACCUAUUGGUGCCCCAUGCUGCUACCAGGGGAUGAGUGUCCACUCCUAGAAGCUGUUCCCCAGCCCCUUGGGCACAUCCGUCUGGGGCCUGGCGGCUUCUGAGGCUGGUGUAGCUCUCCUGCCCUGUGCAGGCUGAAUGUACAAAACUAGACAAUGCUGUGAAGGGCGUGGAGGCCAUGCCUCCUGGAGCCACUGUGAAUUCUACUCCUGCUGAUGGGGCAGGCCCUGGCCAGACGCCUCUGGGCAGAGCUGGGAAGCCUUCACUCUCAGGCCAGUGUGCUUGUUGUAUUCAAAUAAAGGGACCUCUUUUCCAUGGG